GACGAACGCUGGCGGCGUGCUUAACACAUGCAAGUCGAACGAUGAAGCCUAGCUUGCUAGGUGGAUUAGUGGCGAACGGGUGAGUAAUACGUGAGUAACCUACCUUUAACUCUGGGAUAAGCCCGGGAAACUGGGUCUAAUACCGGAUACGACCAAUCUCCGCAUGGGGUGUUGGUGGAAAGCGUUAUGUAGUGGUUGUAGAUGGGCUCAUGGCCUAGCAGCUUGUUGGUGAGGUAACGGCUCACCAAGGCGACGACGGGUAGCCGGCCUGCGGGGGUGACCGGCCACACUGGGACUGAGACACGGCCCAGACUCCUACGGGAGGCAGCAGUGGGGAAUAUUGCACAAUGGGCGCAAGCCUGAUGCAGCGACGCCGCGUGAGGGAUGACGGCCUUCGGGUUGUAAACCUCUGUUAGCAGGGAAGAAGAGAGAUUGACGGUACCUGCAGAGAAAGCGCCGGCUAACUACGUG
rnacentral:rRNA from 1 species